rnacentral:rRNA from 1 species
GACGAACGCUGGCGGCGUGCUUAACACAUGCAAGUCGAACGGAAAGGCCCUGCUUUUGUGGGGUGCUCGAGUGGCGAACGGGUGAGUAACACGUGAGUAACCUGCCCUUGACUUUGGGAUAACUUCAGGAAACUGGGGCUAAUACCGGAUAGGAGCUCCUGCUGCAUGGGGGGGGUUGGAAAGUUUCGGCGGUUGGGGAUGGACUCGCGGCUUAUCAGCUUGUUGGUGGGGUAGUGGCUUACCAAGGCUUUGACGGGUAGCCGGCCUGAGAGGGUGACCGGCCACAUUGGGCCUGAGAUACGGCCCAGUCUCCUACGGGAGGCAGCAGUGGGGAAUAUUGCACAAUGGGCGGAAGCCUGAUGCAGCAACGCCGCGUGCGUGAUGACGGCCUUCGGGUUGUAAACCGCUUUCGCCUGUGACGAAGCGUGAGUGACGGUAAUGGGUAAAGAAGCACCGGCUAACUACGUG